rnacentral:rRNA from 1 species
CAGUCGCCGCGGGAAUACGUAGGUGGCAAGCGUUGUCCGGAAUUAUUGGGCGUAAAGGGCUCGCAGGCGGUUUCUUAAGUCUGAUGUGAAAGCCCCCGGCUCAACCGGGGAGGGUCAUUGGAAACUGGGAAACUUGAGUGCAGAAGAGGAGAGUGGAAUUCCACGUGUAGCGGUGAAAUGCGUAGAGAUGUGGAGGAACACCAGUGGCGAAGGCGACUCUCUGGUCUGUAGCUGACGCUGAGGUGCGAAAGCUAGGGUAGCGAACGGGAUUAGAUACCCCAGUAGUCCCUGUCUCUUAUAC